rnacentral:rRNA from 1 species
AUUGAACGCUGGCGGCAGGCCUAACACAUGCAAGUCGAGCGAGCGGCGGACGGGUGAGUAAUGUCUGGGGAACUGCCUGAUAGAGGGGGAUAACUACUGGAAACGGUGGCUAAUACCGCAUACUAUCGGAUGAACCCAUAUGGUAUUAGCUAGUUGGUGGGGUAACGGCUCACCUAGGCGACGAUCUCUAGCUGGUCUGAGAGGAUGAUCAGCAAAAAUGGAACGGAGACACGGCCCAGACUCCUACGGGAGGCAGCAGUGGGGAAUAUUGCACAAUGGGCGCAAGCCUGAUGCAGCAAUGCCGCGUGUAUGAAGAAGGCCUUAGGGUUGUAAAGGACUUUCAGCGGGGAGGCGUUACCCGCAGAAGAAGAACCGGCUAACUACGUGCCAGCAGCCGCGGUAAUAC